rnacentral:rRNA from 1 species
CAGCAGCCGCGGUAAUACAGAGGGUGCAAGCGUUAAUCGGAUUUACUGGGCGUAAAGGGCGCGUAGGUGGUUAUGUAAGUGAGAUGUGAAAUCCCCGGGCUCAACCUGGGAACUGCAUCUUAUACUGCGUAGCUGGAGUGCAGUAGAGGGUAGUGGAAUUUCCGGUGUAGCGGUGAAAUGCGUAGAUAUCGGAAGGAACACCAGUGGCGAAGGCGGCUACCUGGACUGACACUGACACUGAGGCGCGAAAGCGUGGGGAGCAAACAGGAUUAGAUACCCCGGUAGUCCCUGUCUCUUAUAC